rnacentral:rRNA from 1 species
GUAUGCAGUCAUCAACAGGGUAGCUUAUCACCUGGUGGCGAGUGCCGAACGGGUGAUAAUACAUCGGAACGUACCUUGUAGUGGGGGAUAGCUCGGCGAAAGCCGGAUUAAUACCGCAUACGCUCUGAGGAGGAAAGCGGGGGACCUUCGGGCCUCGCGCUACAAGAGCGGCCGAUGUCAGAUUAGCUAGUUGGUGAGGUAAAAGCUCACCAAGGCGACGAUCUGUAGCUGGUCUGAGAGGACGACCAGCCACACUGGGACUGAGACACGGCCCAGACUCCUACGGGAGGCAGCAGUGGGGAAUUUUGGACAAUGGGCGAAAGCCUGAUCCAGCAAUGCCGCGUGUGUGAAGAAGGCCUUCGGGUUGUAAAGCACUUUUGUCCGGACAGAAAUCCUCUGGGUUAAUACCUCGGGGGGAUGACGGUACCGGAAGAAUAAGCACCGGCUAACUACGUGCCAACAGCCCCGGUAAUACGUAGGGUGCAAGCGUUAAACGGAAUUACUGGGCGUAAAGCGUGCCCGUGGGGUUUCGUAACCCGGAUGUGAAAUCCCCUGGCUUCUCCUGGAAACUGCCUUCGUGGCUGGAAGGUUAGAGUAUGGGAAAGGUGGUAAAAAUCCAAGUGUAAAGAGUGAUAUGUGACUUGUGUGGGGGGAAAAACUACGACGGAAGCGAACCCUGUGCCUCCCCCAACUUUCUUUCAGGAACUUCGUUUAGGACCCAGGAGUAUAUAUUCCGCUGAUGCACCCCGCCAACAACUCUCCCUAUUUGUUGGCUAAGAAUGCAAUUCCGCACCCCCUCUAGCGACGCUUGCCUUGACCGCCAGUGCAUUCGCACGGUAAAUCCGAGGGAAUGGAUUGGACGUAACAAGCAACGGGCGGGGUGAUGGCUGAUAUCUCAAUAAGCGUUACCCCUAUCUAUCUCUCGAGAGCGCGGAGCCUGUGAACGGUGGAAUAUUCUUCCAUAACACUCAUCCCCGGUGACAUCGCAGAGAAUUUUUGGAGGAAAGUUUGUUAAACCCAGGCCUUGUCCACUUCGACUUUACUGGAUCAGAUUCCCCAUUGCAAACGUCCUCAGAGCCCGACGAAGGACUGGGCCGCUGUCCAUACGUGUCAGAGGUCGCCCCUCACACACAUAAGAGCCCGUAUGAGGGGUCA